CCUACGGGGGGCAGCAGUGAGGAAUAUUGGUCAAUGGGCUUACGCCUGAACCAGCCAAGUCGCGUGAGGGAAGACUGCCCUAUGGGUUGUAAACCUCUUUUGUCAGGGGGCAACGCCGGCUACGUGUAGCCGGACUGAGAGUACCUGAAGAAAAAGCAUCGGCUAACUCCGUGCCAGCCGCCGCGGAAAUACGGAGGAUUCGAGCGUUAUCCGGAUUUGUUGGGGUAAAAGGGUGCGUAGGCGGAAGGCCGAGUCAGCGGUAAAGGCGCGGGGCUCAACCUCGCUCCGCCGUUGAAACUGGCGUGCUUGAGUGGGCGAGAAGUAAGCGGAAUGCGUGGUGUAGCGGUGAAAUGCAUAGAUAUCACGCAGAACUCCGAUUGCGAAGGCAGCAUACCGGCGCCCAACUGACGCUGAAGCACGAAAGCGUGGGUAUCGAACAGGAUUAGAUACCCGGGUAGUC
rnacentral:rRNA from 1 species